rnacentral:rRNA from 1 species
GAUGAACGCUGGCGGCGUGCCUAAUACAUGCAAGUCGAGCGAACGGACGAGAAGCUUGCUUCUCUGAUGUUAGCGGCGGACGGGUGAGUAACACGUGGAUAACCUACCUAUAAGACUGGGAUAACUUCGGGAAACCGGAGCUAAUACCGGAUGAUAUUUUGAACCGCAUGGUUCAAAAGUGAAAGACGGUCUUGCUGUCACUUAUAGAUGGAUCCGCGCUGCAUUAGCUAGUUGGUAAGGUAACGGCUUACCAAGGCAACGAUGCAUAGCCGACCUGAGAGGGUGAUCGGCCACACUGGAACUGAGACACGGUCCAGACUCCUACGGCAGGCAGCAGUAGGGAAUCUUCCGCAAUGGGCGAAAGCCUGACGGAGCAACGCCGCGUGAGUGAUGAAGGUCUUCGGAUCGUAAAACUCUGUUAUUAGGGAAGAACAUAUGUGUAAGUAACUGUGCACAUCUUGACGGUAUCUAAUCAGAAAGCCACGGCUAACUACGUG